AUGCGGAUGUGGGACACACAAAAAUAUUAUAAAAGUGACAAGUAAGUCAUAUCUGGAGAUAUGACUUACUUGUCACUUUUAUAAUAUUUUUUGUGUGUCCACAUCCCCAU